AGCUUGCUCUGUGGGAUCAGUGGCGAACGGGUGAGUAACACGUGAGCAACCUGCCCCUGACUCUGGGAUAAGCGCUGGAAACGGCGUCUAAUACUGGAUACGAGUAGCGACCGCAUGGUCAGUUACUGGAAAGAUUUAUUGGUUGGGGAUGGGCUCGCGGCCUAUCAGCUUGUUGGUGAGGUAAUGGCUCACCAAGGCGUCGACGGGUAGCCGGCCUGAGAGGGUGACCGGCCACACUGGGACUGAGACACGGCCCAGACUCCUACGGGAGGCAGCAGUGGGGAAUAUUGCACAAUGGGCGCAAGCCUGAUGCAGCAACGCCGCGUGAGGGAUGACGGCCUUCGGGUUGUAAACCUCUUUUAGCAGGGAAGAAGCGAAAGUGACGGUACCUGCAGAAAAAGCGCCGGCUAACUACGUGCCAGCAGCCGCGGUAAUACGUAGGGCGCAAGCGUUAUCCGGAAUUAUUGGGCGUAAAGAGCUCGUAGGCGGUUUGUCGCGUCUGCUGUGAAAUCCGGAGGCUCAACCUCCGGCCUGCAGUGGGUACGGGCAGACUAGAGUGCGGUAGGGGAGAUUGGAAUUCCUGGUGUAGCGGUGGAAUGCGCAGAUAUCAGGAGGAACACCGAUGGCGAAGGCAGAUCUCUGGGCCGUAACUGACGCUGAGGAGCGAAAGGGUGGGGAGCAAACAGGCUUAGAUACCCUGGUAGUCCACCCCGUAAACGUUGGGAACUAGUUGUGGGGUCCAUUCCACGGAUUCCGUGACGCAGCUAACGCAUUAAGUUCCCCGCCUGGGGAGUACGGCCGCAAGGCUAAAACUCAAAGGAAUUGACGGGGACCCGCACAAGCGGCGGAGCAUGCGGAUUAAUUCGAUGCAACGCGAAGAACCUUACCAAGGCUUGACAUAUACGAGAACGGGCCAGAAAUGGUCAACUCUUUUGGACACUCGUAAACAGGUGGGUGCAUGGUUGUCGUCAGCUCGUGUCGUGAGAUGUUGGGUUAAGUCCCGCAACGAGCGCACCCUUCGUUCUAUGUUGCCAGCACGUAAUGG
rnacentral:rRNA from 1 species